AGAGUUCUUCGUGAACUCGGCGGACUGCUCAGUAACACGUGGGUAAUCUACCCUCAGGUCAGGGAUAAUCCCGGGAAACUGGGGAUAAUACCUGAUAGGUGAAGAUGUCUGGAACGAUACUUCGCCCAAAGCUCCGGCGCCUGAGGAUGAGCCUGCGGCCGAUUAGGUAGUUGGCGGUGUAAAGGACCACCAAGCCCGUGAUCGGUACGGGUGUUGAGAGACAUAGCCCGGAGAUGGGGGCUGAGACACGGCCCCAGGCCCUACGGGGCGCAGCAGGCGCGAAAACUACGCAAUGCGCGAAAGCGUGACGUGGGAACUCCAAGUGCCCUGCCUUCGGGUAGGGCUUUUGUUAAGUGUAAGUAGCUAAACGAAUAAGUGCUGGGUAAGACCGGUGCCAGCCGCCGCGGUAACACCGGCAGCGCAAGUGGUGACCGCUUUUAUUGGGCCUAAAGCGUCCGUAGCCGGUUUGGUAAGUCUUUGGGUAAAUCCUCAAGCUUAACUUGAGGAAUUCCG
rnacentral:rRNA from 1 species